AACGCAACUUGCGCUCUCUGGUAUUCCGGGGAGCAUGCCUGUUUGAGAAUCGCAAAGCAACACAAAUCAUAUUUUUUGUUUGUAAUAGAAUGAAAAAUGUGGAGUUGAGCCGAUUUUUCUUCCAGCCUUAAAAGAAUUUAUUUUUUUUUAGGGCCGGGGGAUGGCUUGAAAUGCAGAAGGACGGGGAGCCUUGGGUAAAACCAGGUUUCCCUCAGGUCAAACAAUUUAUAUACUUGAGCAAAUAAUAGUUAAUGCUUUUCAUUAAGCGUUAUUCUUUUUGUUCGGUAGUCUGAUCUGGGCCAAAAAAAAAUUUUUUUUUUUGUGCGUCCUCACACUCUCUCUCUCUCUUUUUGGGGGGUGGAGCGAGGAAACAAUCUAAUUUUGACGAAGCUGAUUUUAAUUGACGCUUCCGACCUCUUAGAUCUCAAAUCAGGCAAGAGUACCCGCUGAACUUAA
rnacentral:misc_RNA from 1 species